AUGGAGCUUCAAACUCGCACCACUGCCCCCCCCCUCCACCCUAGUAAGUCGGGCAAGAUGGUAACGAGUCUUUCGGCUGGGGCGACCACGGAGAAAAACAAAACCUCCAUGAUGAAAGGAACACCCUAAUCAAAGAGCCACUGCUCUAAGAAUCAAUAAAUUGACACAUUGACCCAAUAUUUUGAUCAACGAACCAAGUUACCCUGGGGAUAACAGCGCAAUCCAUUUCAAGAGACCUCAUCAACAAAUG
rnacentral:rRNA from 1 species